rnacentral:rRNA from 1 species
UGGGGAAUUUUGGACAAUGGGGGCAACCCUGAUCCAGCAAUGCCGCGUGAGUGAAGAAGGCCUUCGGGUUGUAAAGCUCUUUUGUCAGGGAAGAAACACCGGCUCUAACACAGUCCGGGAAUGACGGUACCUGAAGAAUAAGCACCGGCUAACUACGUGCCAGCAGCCGCGGUAAUACGUAGGCUCCAAGCGUUGUCCGGAUUUAUUGGGCGUAAAGAGCUCGUAGGCGGUUCAGCAAGUCGGGUGUGAAAACUCUGGGCUCAACCCAGAGCCUGCACCCGAAACUGCUGUGACUAGAGUUCGGUAGGGGAGUGGGGAAUUCCUAGUGUAGCGGUGGAAUGCGCAGAUAUCAGGAGGAACACCAAUGGCGAAGGCAGGUCUCUGGGCCAUUACUGACACUGAGGAGCGAAAGCGUGGGGAGCGAACAGG